GUAAGGAAAGAAUAGUUUCAUUUCUAAUGCAAAGGGUAUAGAGGGAAAAGAAUCCCAGUGCUCCCUUGUCAGAUUUGCACUUUCUGUAAAGUGCUGUACAUCAGAUUGGCCUUGUGCUAGGAUAAGAAUGCAGGACAAUUAUUAAGUGUGGACAUCAAAGAAAUCUUUCAUCAAGAUAGAAAAAAAAGGAAAAGAAAGAACUUGGGUUAGUAGGGUUUUAUAACUGGAUGUUUCAGAAUGAUUGUCUGUAGCUCUACAGACAGAAAGGACCUCUCAUGGAUGAUUUUACUAUAAAGGAUGGGAAAAUGUAUGAAAUUAUGUAUGUCAAGUGUUUCCUGUAUGUACGUGUGUAUAUGUACCAUCUGUCUUGGUGUGUGAGGUCUGGAAUUUGCCCUUUUGAUGAUCUUUUACUCUGAAAAUACCUGAAAGGCCUCGAUAGCUUUUUCACCCCUAUAUAUAGGGGCUACAAGUAUAUGACAAAGGAUGUCACCAACAAAGGGCAGUUUGUUUAAACUUGACUAUGCAAUUGCCUUCCUGUUUGAUUUAUUGUCUGAUGAGCUGUGAAAUGUCAAAUUGGGUGUAGAUAUGAUGCAAGAAAGUUUCUGGAAUUCCAUAUUCUUUUUAAGAAAUAUCAAAGUGAGGAUAAUUUGCACAGGGGUGGGAAAGACCCUCUCGUCCUGGGAAGAAACAUUGGGAGCAGGGAGCAGAGAACAGUUGCUGGAGGUGCCGGUACUGGGACCACGGGACCAGGUUGAAGGGGUCAGAUGGGAACCGUGUGCCUGCUCGCCCCAUGGCCAGCAGGGCUUAUCCUGGGGGUCGAAGCAUCCAGUGGUGCUUCCAGAUGUUUUCUUCCAGCUGUUUUCAGUUUGUAGACCGAGGAUUUCAGGCAUCUUUUCAGUUUCUAACAGUGAUUUCCUCCAGUUCCAUCACCAGCUUGGCUGCAGCCUGCUCAGGAGGAGUAGGAUAAAAAAUUGCCAUUAAAAAUAUAUUGGAUUGUGAGAAGGCGUGAGAGUUGUCAUAGGGACAUGGAGGUUUAUGAAAAACUGCAGCUGCGAGCAGAAUCUCCGGAGGCUCCAUCGCUCCCGAAGCUCUGGGCUGGUGAUGGUGUCUGCCAGGUCUUGAAGGGAUUAAGGAGCAGGAAUGGGCAAUUGCUGUCCUCGUUCUGCUUGCUCACGUCUCAAAUUAGCUGUGCUGUGCACAUCACAUCUUUGCUGCUAUUUUUUCAGGGAUAAGGACAGCAGUGUGCUCGCCUCCUCUAGCAUUAACUCUGUGAGAAAGGAAACAAACGGGCGAGGAAUUAGGUCAGGAGCAACAGGGCACCUUUGAUUUUUCCGAGUUUUAUUGUUUUUCCUUUUUGUGGCAAGAAGAAAGAAUAUAAAUGAACACUAAGACUUGCAGGUGCCUGAAAGAUAGAUUUGACCUAGAUAUUUCACAGUAACCAUAACUGGGAUAUUUUACAUGUAAUUUAACAAAAAUAUGUUAAUAAAGAAACCUAUCCAAAUUGGCAACCUAGUUGGUGAUAUAGGAAGCCUGUAGAGAGAAUCAGGUGUAGGUGGCACAAAGUGAAACCCCACUACAAAUAAAACAGGGCAGAGAGAAAGCUAAAGCAAUGGUGAGUGCCUCCCCACCCCAGAAUUAGUUGCUUUGAAAGUUUAGCCGGACUUCUGCUGCUCUUCUCCUUGUUUAUAUGUGUGAAUCACAAUAUAUUGUAGGAAUUAGUUGUUAUUUCGUUCACUACACCAAUACUCCACAGCACUGAAUAUACAGCUUUUCUGUUGCCUGGAUGGACAAUUUUGAGAAUCAAACUUGCUUAUGCGUACGUCACCUGAUGUGCAAAUCAAAAAGGACACAGGACAAGAGUCUGCAACUUUUUGCUGAGUACAGAAGCACUUCUUUUUUCAUUCAGGGGUUACAGCACCGGCUGCAUUGUCUGGAGAACUCAGCUGUCUUGUUAAGGCUGGUUGUACUCUAUGUCAGGCAACUCUUACAUGUUAUUUCUAGGUGCAAGAAUAACACUCAUUUUUUUGCUGUCACAAGACCAGAUAACAAAGACUGUGCGCCCAGUUUUGAACACUCUCCUUUAUUCCUCUCCCCUGUCCAAGACAAUACAUGCUCCUUAAAUCCGGCACGCUGGCUUUCCCGUCAUUAAACCCCCUUCCCGUUGCCUCUGCAGAGCUGGUUGGCGCGUCUCUGUUCCGAGCCCAUCGCUGAGCCCACAGCAGCACCUUCUUUCUUGGGAAGUAUCUUAGAUGGAUGCUAUUACCCUUUUCACAUUUGUGUGGAAUAGUGAUUUUUCAUUUUUGUUUUAUGCAGCAGGAAAUUUUAUAGACCGAAGAUGUCUUCAGCCUCACCGCAGAAAUUAGUUGUCCCAGUCUGAGCACACCAAUUGAAUAAAUCACAUAUUUCAUGUGCUGCUGUUUCCAUGAGUAUAAACCUUUCUUUCUGGAUUUCCAAUCAAGACGAUGUGUUUUAGGUGCAUGGAUUUCUUGUCAGAUAGAAUACUGAAAUAUGAGAUAAGUGCACUGAAUAUGUAUAGUCUUUGAAUAUAUGGUCAAUCAGUUGGACGAUCUGUGCAUGAACCUCUUUUGAAGUUUUGUUAAAUAACGCAGAUUCAUUGGAAACAACUGGAUGUACAUGCAUUUGCAGUUCUAGUGUGUGGGUGGAGUAUCCAUUUUUCUCCUAAGCAAAGAAGAACCACUUGGGCCCAGGCCUGAACCCCCACUCUUCUCUGGAACUAAUACACAUAUUUGCAGUUAAGAAUAUAUUUAAGCAGAUCUUUAAGUGUACGCUUGGAAUCAGGGCCUUGAAGAUUAGUACUUUUAAAGGGGAAAAAAUACCCAUACUUGUUCUAGGAGAAAAGCAUUAAAAAUAGGAGUGUAGGCUGGAUACCAAAGGGUUGUGCUGUUUGAAAGCACAAAUUACACACUCAUAAUGGGUCUGUGGACAGUGGAAAACCCAAGUGCUCUGUGUGAAGAGGUUCCAAUAAUUGUUAAUUUGCUCAAAGCAAAAGGUUUUAAAUCUAGAGAAGCCCUGUUAUUUAAUAAAGACCAUUCUCCUACAUUUCUGCCUAUAAAGUGAAUUUAAAAUGAAAAUUAAAAAGAACCUUACUCUUGUUAUGGAGCUCUAGAUGGUUCCUAGAGCUCCUGUCUCUGAAGUAUUGUGCCACUGAGGAAUCAAUUAAAACACAAUGAACCGGUCUGUUUGAAUGGUUCAGACACAGGCUUGGUGUGGAACUGAAGCUUGGGUGGGAGCAGCUGCUGAUUUUGAGGAAAAGGGGAGAGGAAAGUUGGGCAAAUGAAAAUAAUAUUGUGCUCUAAGCCCUUAUUUCAUUUCAGGUGCUUAUAUGUUUGUAAUUCUUGGUUGUGGGCACUUGGCUGAGUUUGCCCCAUGUGUCCAGCUGCUUCCAAGCAAACAUUCAAUAGCGUGACCAGUCUCGUCUGCAUAAAUGUUUGACUGUAAAACUGAUGCGCAGUUGCACAUUUAAUACUCCAAAGCUGUUUGCUGAGUGGAGAAUUGUUCUCAAGCUGCUCUGGGGAAGUCUCAGAGCUCUCUGCUCUUCUUUGUCUUCAUGCAAAAAUUUUUUCGGCUAAGUCAAUAUAUAUCCCGAACUGCCUGUGAGUAGCUCUGCAAUAAGCACUGUUGCUAAACAGCCGCGUUUAAUUGCUUCAUAAUAAAAGGAAAGUUAUUUUUAAAAAAGAAAACUAUUUUCUCUGGCUGAAACCUUUCCCUCAAGGUCUAAUUCACGGUUUGAAUAAAUAGCAUCUCUAGAGCAGCCGUGUCUGCUGGGCGAGGGAAGAGCGGAACGGUUUGGAACUGGAAAUCAGCUGCGCUGUGCCAUCAACUCUGUUGACUCUGUUGCCUUCUGCUUAUUUCCAGUACAUGCUGUUAUAUAAUGGCCAGACCUGGAAGAUCUCGGGAAGCAGAAAAAUAGAUCUGAAACAAGCAAAUGUUCAAGAUAAUAUUGCAUUAAAGAUCACAGUGAAUAAAGAGGCUGUGCAGUAAGUGCCUGGGGCAGACUGGUCGGGGAAGGGAGAUCCUGAUCCAGGGGCUGAGGUUGAAAAUGAACAACUAACACGAUAAAUGUUUUCAGUUUUUAUUCUUCAAUGACAGAUGUAUUUGGAUGUGUUCAAUUUUGGACUGCAAGUAAACAUUACAUAAGCUUUUCUAAUUUUUGUAGGAGUCGGCUUUUCAAGCAAAACCAGAUCCGGUACUUUAAUGCCACUUGAACUAACAUUGUUUAUUCCUCUAAAAAGUGCAAAAGCCUAUGAAGUGUCUGUCGACAAUGCUAAACUGCCUUUCUUAUCUUCCUGAAUAGAGGUGUAAAUGACAGAGUGAACAUUUAUUUUCUUCUUAGGACAAUGUAACCCAACAGGAAUUUGAAUUUAACUGACAUUCCGGUGACACCCACACAGGGCUGAGUGAUACAAUCCCAGUCUGAGGGUGCAGACAGCAGAUCUGCCGAGGCCUUUGCAAUUAUUGCCCUGCAAUCUUCCACUAUGAGCAAAUUCCCGUUUCUGGUUAUGCUGCCCAGGGCAAGUGCACAGUCCUUGUGUGGGAGCACAGAGGCAAAUAAGCAGAACUUUAUCAUUUUAAACGGAGGAAAUAAGAUCUGAAAAUCCUUGAAAUGCUACAUACACUCAAAAAAAACACAGGGGACCCGAUUAUUGCUGCACUUCGAGAUGCUGCCAUUUCACAAGGCUGGAUUGGCCAUGAGAUGAAGGGAUUGCCUACCACCUGUUGAGCUGUUAGGAACAGCAGGUGUUAGGUAAUUCUAGCAAUAUCAUUCUAGAUUGGGAUUUAUAAUUCUUCAUUUAGUUGCACAUUUCAUAGAAACAAACUAAAUGUGAUUCCUGAUGAUCUCAGUCAUUAUAGAGAAAAAGAAUGCUUUAAAAACCUGGUGCCUUAAGACUAUAGCCUCUCAAUUGUGAAGAAAAUAAUUUAUCUGAUGUCCAGUAAUUACAGCGGCCCAAGAGAAUAUAUGAUGGUGAAGUCCCAAGCUAUGGAACAGCUCCAACCUUUUUUAAAACCACUGGAAUUCUUACAUAUUCAAGAAGAGAAAAGCACAAUCCCCCAAGUUUUCUUGGUGCCAAGAGAUACAGUCUAUGGCCAGGUAAUAAUAACAAAGAAGAGAGAGAAAUGCAGCCAGUGAUGAACACGGUGGAGAAGCACGGAUGGUAUCUGCGGGAUCAGCUUCUGGUUUCACGUCCUUUUAUCCUGCAGUUUAACUACCAGCCUUGCACCCUGUUUUCUGCAGGAGGUAGGAGCUGUUUUCCCAAGAGAUGGGGGAAGGACAGUGAUGCUCUCCUAUGGACCCAAAACCAUGUAACAUUCUCUGUCCCGGAUCCCUCAGCCCCCUUUCUGCCGAGCACAAGGUACCUCCAUGUCUGUGGUAAGGGGAUGUUUUCAUUGCAAGAUUUUCCGUACUUUGCUCAUGCAAAUGAAGUUGCUCUAUUUUGCCUAACGGCUCUGUGAGUUACAGCCAGCUUAUUGUUUUAGAAAUAAAGAUAUUACUAUGCAAAUGGCUCGGGAAGGUGUUUCUUCUCAUUAGAGAAUGGAGAUCGUUUGAUAAAAGAUGCAAUGUGCUUCAUCUGUAAAAAGGCUCAGCAAAUUUGUCUUGUCUCAACAGCACUGGAACAACAAGACCGAUCGGAUAAUGCAGCAGAGAAAGCACAGGAGACAAAUGGUUUAUGACACUCAGGUUACCUUUACUGUGCAAGGUGGGCGUGAAAUUUUUUAUGGUGAGACAAAAAAGAUGAUGGGCAAUUAACUACAAACCCAUGCAGCGGGUUUAUCAUAUGCUCAGCUCAUCCAUCUGUGUCUCAGUCUCCAGCGGACUCAUGAGUUUCAUCAAGAAAACCAUUUUCAAACCAGCAGACCAAAACAGAUCGUUUUCGGCUCCAAGCUCCAUCGAGGCUUUGCAGUAGUUUUACCUUAUGUUUACGAUUUAUGGAUGCAACAUAUACACGCAGCAGAAAAGAGUGGUCCAAACAUUUUUCCCCUUGCAGAGUACAUUUUAAAGUAUUUUUCAUUCAGGGACCAGUUGUGCAAAUACUCCCAUGCAUGUAAAUAGCUUUAAUAAGAUUAACUCAAUUAAAUCCUUCGGGGUGAGAUGGUAGAUGCGGUGUGUAACUGCAUUUAAAUUCCAACUUGUGUCCUGUGAUGACUCUGAUAGAAAAGGUUCAGGGAAGCGGGAGAAGACGGAUGAGCUGGUGGUUAAAGCACGGGCUCAGUAUGCAAAAUCCCAGUGCUCAGUUUGAGCUCCUGCUGCAGCCUCUGUGUGACAUGGGCUCCAUCACUCGCUCAGGUUUGAGCUCCUGCUGCAGCCUCUGUGUGACAUGGGCUCCAUCACUUGCUCAGGUUUGACCUGUAAAGUCAGGAUAACCGCUUUUUGUUUGUACCAAAAUAGUUAAUAUUGAACUACUGCCCA